rnacentral:ribozyme from 1 species
GCGACGAAGACAAAAAGAAAAAAGGGAGGAAAUGCGACAACAUUCACACACGACAAAGCAAAAUCCUCUUUUGUCUUUUUUUUGAUUUAUUAUCUUUUUUAU